GCUCAUCUGAUCAGUCUCAAAUAGAACGAAAUGUGCAUCCUGAAU
rnacentral:hammerhead_ribozyme from 1 species